rnacentral:rRNA from 1 species
UACAGAGGUCCCGAGCGUUGUUCGGAUUCACUGGGCGUAAAGGGUGCGUAGGUGGUGAGGUAAGUCGGAUGUGAAAGCUCCAAGCUCAACUUGGAAACGGCAUUGGAAACUACCUUGCUAGAGGGUUUGAGGGGGGACUGGAAUACUUGGUGUAGCAGUGAAAUGCGUAGAUAUCAAGUGGAACACCAGUGGCGAAGGCGAGUCCCUGGAAAACUCCUGACACUGAGGCACGAAAGCUAGGGGAGCAAACAGG